AACGAACGCUGGCGGCAGGCCUAACACAUGCAAGUCGAACGCCCCGCAAGGGGAGUGGCAGACGGGUGAGUAACACGUGGGAACCUUCCCUAUAGUACGGAAUAGCCCAGGGAAACUUGGAGUAAUACCGUAUACGCCCGAAAGGGGAAAGAAUUUCGCUAUAGGAUGGGCCCGCGUAGGAUUAGCUAGUUGGUGAGGUAAUGGCUCACCAAGGCGACGAUCCUUAGCUGGUUUGAGAGAACGACCAGCCACACUGGGACUGAGACACGGCCCAG
rnacentral:rRNA from 1 species